rnacentral:rRNA from 1 species
AUGGAAUGCCCAGAAGGAUUGUCAGGAGUUCACGAUGUGUUUCACGUUUCCCAGUUGAAGAAGUGCCAUGCCGAUAUUCCUUUGAGAGAUACAGUGCCACUCGAAGCGAUUCAACUGGAUAGUGAUUUGACCUACGAAGAGAAACCGGUGAAGAUUCUCGAGUUUGCCAGCCAAGUCACAUGCAGCAAGAUUAUCAAGUUUUGCAAAGUUCAGUGGAGCCACCAUACCGCGGAGGAAGCCACCUGGGAACGAGAGGAAGAUAUAUGUAAGGACCACCCACACCUAUUUUCUAGCCAACCCGAAUCUCGAGGGUGA